rnacentral:rRNA from 1 species
ACAUCUAAGUACCUGAAGGAAGAGAAAGAAAUUCGAUUCCGUAAGUAGCGGCGAGCGAACGCGGAUUAGCCCAAACCAAUAAAGUUUUCUUUAUUGGGGUUGCGGACAUAUCAUAACGAAGAGGUAUUGUAAUUGAAGAGGUUUGGAAAGACCCACCACAGAAGGUAAUAGUCCUGUAUGUUAAACGAGAAGACUUCAGAUAUGAUCCAGAGUACCACGGGACACGUGAA